GUCAAUUUUGUUGCUUAAAAUGGAAUCCCACUUUACUAUAAAAGUAAGCUUAUAUUAUUUUUAGGCUUUUUAUGUAUUACUCGUUGAACAAACUUUGUUUGUAUUAGGUACGAAAACAUAAGUGAAACAUAUAAAAAGUGUGUUAGUUGAAUCCAA
rnacentral:miRNA from 1 species